UUAAUAGCCAUAUUAAUAUAGCAUCUUACUCAUCAUCAUCCUCAAUCCCCAUCCAUUCCAACGAAAAAGGGGAAGGUAGGCAAUUCAAAAAAAAGAAGGAAAACACAGAUUGUAGAGGCGUAUAGGCCAGGAGAGAGAGGAAACAGAAAGAGAAAAAAAGUUGAGAGAGAGAAAGAAAGAGAUCAUAGGGUGACAGAGAGAGGGGGGAAGGGGAGAGGGACGAAACGAUGGGGUUGUGCUUUGGUUGCCUCGACGGAGGCAACAAGCGUAUGACAAAAGAAGAAGAGAGAUUGGCCUCUGAAGAAGCGCGUGCUAGAGCUGCUGAAGCCGCCCAGAAAAAGCUAGAGCAACAAGGAGAGGCAAAGCAACCAGAAACGGUAAAGGAACCUGAAAACUCCAGCAAUGGCGAAGCCUUUGUAAAGGUUUAGGGAUACAAGGGGGCCACUUGAUUUUUGGCAAGUAUUAACUCACAAUGUUAAAUCUCUGCUAAAUCACCAUCAUACAAUUCUAGGGAAAUUGAUCCUUUUAUUUGAUUAGGAAUUUAUCUCACUUUUUCUAUGUGAAAAAAAAAUCUUAAAAAAUAUUUCCCCUUGAUAUGCUGCUUUGUUGCCCUUGCCGUUUGGCUAACAACCUGUUCAUGAAUCCAUUAAAGCACAUUGAUAAUAUGUUUUGACUUUUCAUGUGUUGAUGCAGUGGCAGAUGGAUUGAGGUUAGGCCAACUGUUUAUUACAUGUAAGUACUAUGUAUAGGUCCAGUCAAAUCCUCUGCACUGCCAGCUUUUCCUUGUUCCGGUGAUGAACAAACGGUCUUUCCUACAACUGUACCAUCGGUCAAAUUUGUUGUAUUCCAGAUCCAGAAAAUAUUCUGUUUGAUUGCAAAGUAUUCGUGAUGUAAAAGGAAACAAGGAUAAGUUGAGAAUGUAGUUUGGUGUUUUUAUUC